rnacentral:rRNA from 1 species
CCAUGCCGCGUGAGUGAUGAAGGCCUUAGGGUUGUAAGCUCUUUACCCGGAAGAUAAUGACGGUACCGGGAGAAUAAGCCCCGGCUAACUUCGUGC